CCACACACGAUCCAAGAUCGACACUUUUUGUGAACUGUAAACGUUAAUGUAUUGACACAGUAACUUUUAACAAGUUGCAACGUGUUCAUACCCCCUUUUUACACCAAAUACCAAACAUGAAUUGUGCAUUGGAACUGAAAAUGUUAUGGCAAGUUCUUCUUGACAUGACGCUAGAUUGAAAAUUGUAAA
rnacentral:misc_RNA from 1 species